rnacentral:rRNA from 1 species
AUUGAACGCUGGCGGCAGGCUUAACACAUGCAAGUCGAACGAGUGGCGGACGGGUGAGUAAUGCUUGGGAAUCUAGCUUAUGGAGGGGGAUAACUACUGGAAACGGUAGCUAAUACCGCAUACCAUCGGAUGUGCCCAGAUGGGAUUAGCUAGUAGGUGGGGUAACGGCGCACCUAGGCGACGAUCCCUAGCUGGUCUGAGAGGAUGAUCAGCCACACUGGGACUGAGACACGGCCCAGACUCCUACGGGAGGCAGCAGUGGGGAAUAUUGCACAAUGGGCGCAAGCCUGAUGCAGCCAUGCCGCGUGUAUGAAGAAGGCCCUAGGGUUGUAAAGUACUUUCAGUCGGGAGGCGUUACCGACAGAAGAAGCACCGGCUAACUCCGUGCCAGCAGCCGCGGUAAUUC